rnacentral:rRNA from 1 species
CCUACGGGUGGCAGCAGUGAGGAAUAUUGGUCAAUGGGCGUAAGCCUGAACCAGCCAAGUCGCGUGAGGGAUGAAGGUUCUACGGAUUGUAAACUUCUUUUAUAAGGGAAUAAAGUGUGGGACGUGUCCCGUUUUGUAUGUACUUUAUGAAUAAGGAUCGGCUAACUCCGUGCCAGCAGCCGCGGUAAUACGGAGGAUCCGAGCGUUAUCCGGAUUUAUUGGGUUUAAAGGGAGCGUAGGCGGGUUUUUAAGUCAGCGGUGAAAGUUUGUGGCUCAACCAUAAAAUUGCAGUUGAAACUGGCAGGCUUGAGUAGAGUUGAGGUAGGCGGAAUGCGUGGUGUAGCGGUGAAAUGCUUAGAUAUCACGAAGAACCCCGAUUGCGAAGGCAGCCUACUAAGCCGUCACUGACACUGAUGCUCGAAAGUGUGGGGAUCAAACAGGAUUAGAUACCCGUGUAGUC